rnacentral:rRNA from 1 species
AACGAACGCUGGCGGCAGGCUUAACACAUGCAAGUCGAGCGCACUUUUUAAGUGAGCGGCAGACGGGUGAGUAAUGCAUGGGAAUCUACCUAUUUCUACGGAAUAACACAGAGAAAUUUGUGCUAAUGCCGUAUACGUCCGAGAGGAGAAAGAUUUAUCGGAGAUAGAUGAGCCCAUGUUGGAUUAGCUAGUUGGUGGGGUAAAGGCCUACCAAGGCGACGAUCCAUAGCUGGUCUGAGAGGAUGAUCAGCCACACUGGGACUGAGACACGGCCCAGACUCCUACGGGAGGCAGCAGUGGGGAAUAUUGGACAAUGGGCGCAAGCCUGAUCCAGCCAUGCCGCGUGAGUGAUGAAGGCCUUAGGGUUGUAAAGCUCUUUCACCGGUGAAGAUAAUGACGGUAACCGGAGAAGAAGCCCCGGCUAACUUCGUGCCAGCCGCCGCCGUAACAC